rnacentral:lncRNA from 1 species
CUAUUUUGCAACAAAGCCUUCAUCACUAUCGCUGCCAAACUUACCCUUGUAAAACUGACUAUCCUACCGAUCCUCGACUUCGGCGAUGUCAUCUACAAAAUAGCUUCCAAUACUCUACUCAGCAAACUGGAUGCAGUCUAUCACAGUGCCAUCCGUUUUGUUACCAAAGCCUCUUAUACCACCCACCACUGCGACCUGUAUGCUCUAGUCGGCUGGCCCUCGCUACAUAUUCGUCGCCAGACCCACUGGCUCCAGGUCAUCUAUAAGUCUAUGCUAGGUAAAGCUCCACCUUAUCUCAGCUCACUGAUCACGAUAACAACACCCACCCAUAGCACGCGCUCCAGCAGGUAUAUCUCACUGGUCAUCCCCAAAGCCAACACCCACUUUGGCCGCCUUCCCUUCCAGUUCUCUGCUACCAGUGACUGGAACGAAUUGCAAAAAUCGCUGAAGCUGGAGACUUACAUUUCCCUCACUAACUUUAUAAAUAGAUAUUGCCAGAUGUUCACUGUCCGAGGAACAGGCCGUGGAAGCUUUAUUGCUUGUAUUUAACUGUUCUGUGUUCUUUUGCUCCAUCUCUGCCUGUCUUGUACAUGGAACCUGUCUCACAUGUAUUAAUUUAAAAAACCUUAAGAUGUCAGCUGCUAAUUUUCAGAUUUACACCACAUCAACACAGUCAUUUUCACUGCACUAUCUUAUGCUAUCUGUUGCUGCCAAGUCAUGAUUUCCCUGGGGAUUAGCCUUGCAAUAACCAAGUGGUGAGACACAUAGCCCUCUAUAUUUAAAUGUUUCAGGUACACUCCGAUAGGUGUCUGUGUCACAUACAGUAUCUUCUAUUGACAUUAUCUUCUAUUGUUUGUCCACAUGUGUCUGUUUUUCAGCAUAACGCAUUCUGUAGCCACUUAGUGUGGAUAGCAGGUUAUAUCAGCUGUUUUGGUGAACCCCUCCCGCAUCUGAACUGGCUGACACAGAGGGCACAGCAUGAUCAGAGAAGAUGCCACAUGAAACAGCACAGAGGUCACAGACAUAUAGAAACAAAAUAAAAAAUAUGAUACCAGGAACAUCUGCAAAAAGACAGCGAGAGAUACUGGAAGAAAAAAAGAGAAGAGAGAAGUGAAAUCUAUCUCUGAGCUUACAAAGCGAGAACAAAGAAACAAGAGAUGGCAAUGAAAAUGUAACCAACGGAAUAGAAGACAGACUUUAAAGAGAACAGUUGCAAUGGAGACCUACCUAUCAGCCAACACACCACCUCAGUCACCAGAUAACUUGCAGCCAGAACAUGAGGCUAACAUACCUGCCCCUAACUUACCUACCCCUGAUGCACACCCUGGUACCCCUUCCUCAUCGUCUGCAACAUGAAUGAGAAGUCGAAUACUUGCUGGAAGGAAAAAGGCUGGAAGAGGUCACUCAAAGCAUACAGAGAUCUUAGUAUGACAAAUGUCAAAUGUGAUAAUGCUUUACGGAAAGCUGAAAAAUACAAAAAAAGGUAUGAUCGACUGAUGAACAAAAUGAAGAAACAAGAUUCCCCAAAGACAAAGACAGAACAGCAAAUGAAGGGAACUCCAAAGAACUUGAGAAGGAUUGUAUUGCUUCAAAAUACCAUCAUUGCAGAGUUAAAAGAAAAGUAUAAAAAAAUGUGCAGUGCCAAAGACAAACAAGUGGCUUCAAAGAUUCUCAGAGGGAACAUCCUGAGAAAGUAUGGCCUUGUCAAAACCGGCAAACAGAGAUUUUCUAUUUUCAGCAAAACAAUGAGGGCAAAUGAAAACAGGCCAUCAAGUCUUCAAUACUCCAGGAAAGAUCAGUGUAACAGAAUUAGCACUGCCACAGAAGAGAAAAUCACUAGAUUCUAUGAACGUGAUGACAACAGCAGAGCAACAACAGGGAAAAAGGACACACUAACGAGGAACAAGAAGAAAAAGCAGAAGCACGUUUUGAAUGGCACAAUUCAGAACCUUUAUCAGAAGUUUAAGAGGGAAUAUUCAGAAAUUCUGCAAAAGAUGUCCUUUUCGGAUUGUCAAGCCAAAAGUCCAGGAUAGAGACACAUGUCUCUGCAAAACCCACACCAACCUCCAGUUCAUGGCAGACAAACUACAGUAUCACAAAGUGAUCAGCUGCAGCAACAAUGAGAACGUUUUUGAGUCUUUGUGCUGUGAGAACCUGAAGAAAGAGUGCAUGUAUAGAGAGUUCUCCCUUUGUCAAGCAAAAGAGCUUAAAACACCUGACUUUGAUGCUGGUGAGCAGACAUGGUGGUUUGAGUGGAAAAACAAAGCUGAAGAGAGAGAGAAGAAAAACAAAGAGGGAAACAUGGAGAAGUUCACUGUACAUUUGACAGUAAAAUAAAUGGUAUGUGGCACACUGCAAAUUCUAUUGGAGGACUUCUCCAAAGGAUUGAAAGAGAAGUUGGGGAAACACGUGUGCAACAUUCGACACCAAUACUCAACUGAGAGAAUUAAGAGAAUCUGGGGAAAGAGGAGAUCAUUGUGCAUAUUGACAUUGCAGAGAACUACCUGUGUAAAUACACCAGUGAAAUCCAGGCAGUUCACUUUGGUGAUUCUCACAAGCAGAUGGCCCUCCACACCUGUGUUGGAUAUACCACAAAUGAUACAGUUUCACUUUGCUCACUGAGCUCUUCUAUGCGGCAUUACCCUCUGCUAUCUGGGCCCAUCUCUCAAAAACACUGGCCUACUUCCUUGAGCUCUGCCCAUCGGCUACUGCUGUACACUUUGUGAGUGAUGGGCCUACAACCCAGUAUAGGUCUGAAAUGUUUAACAAUGGUUGUUGUUCAAAAUGUUUGCAAUAAAAUAUUGUUUUCAUACGUUUUUUUUUUACAUAGAUGUCAUUUCCAC